GAUGAACGCUGGCGGCGUGCCUAAUACAUGCAAGUCGAGCGAACGGACGAGAAGCUUGCUUCUCUGAUGUUAGCGGCGGACGGGUGAGUAACACGUGGAUAACCUACCUAUAAGACUGGGAUAACUUCGGGAAACCGGAGCUAAUACCGGAUGAUAUUUUGAACCGCAUGGUUCAAAAGUGAAAGACGGUCUUGCUGUCACUUAUAGAUGGAUCCGCGCUGCAUUAGCUAGUUGGCAAGGUAACGGCUUACCAAGGCAACGAUGCAUAGCCGACCUGAGAGGGUGAUCGUCCACACUGGAACUGAGACACGGUCCAGACUCCUACGGGAGGCAGCAGUAGGGAAUCUUCCGCAAUGGGCGAAAGCCUGACGGAGCAACGCCGCGUGAGUGAUGAAGGUCUUCGGAUCGUAAAACUCUGUUAUUAGGGAAGAACAUAUGUGUAAGUAACUGUGCACAUCUUGACGGUACCUAAUCAGAAAGCCACGGCUAACUACGUG
rnacentral:rRNA from 1 species